rnacentral:tRNA from 1 species
AAUUCAAAUGGUUAAAAAUACAGAAAAUUCCAGAAUUUCUACCGGCGCACUCAAAAUCCUCCGAGGGUAACUUCAUGCGAGUUCGAUUCUCGCCCCCGGCACCA